CUCAUCUGCAAUGGAGUAGGCUGGGUGCCAGGUAGACAGUGCCCAGAGGGGAAUGUUUUCUUCUCUCUGCCAAGUUUAUUACAUGUGGGAACAAAAAUAUUAACUGGAAAUAAGAGAUCUCCGGACUUCAGAAAAUCUUCAGAGUACAUGAGGAAAAGAGAAUGUUGUAUAUUAGACAAAGACAAUAGGACUGUGAAAAGUAGCAUAGAGCCUUUGUUUCCACAGAUGUGUGAAUGAUUGGGUGAAGUUGUCCUCUGGUGGUUAAGAUAUUCAAAUACCCAAUCAUUUACUGCUAAGGGCAGAAAACUGGGCUGGUAUUCAGGAAACUGGGAUUUCAUUUCCAAAGCUGUGUCGACCUGAUGGAUGAC